GUAGGUGAACCUGCGGAAGGAUCAUUAAUGAUUAACUGUCUGUCGAGCUUGCUCACAGACUUAUCAUAUCCAUAACACCUGUGCACUUGUCGGAUGGCUUAGUGAAGACCGCAAGGUUGGAACUAUCCAUCUACUUUACAUAACAAUUUAGUAACAAAUGUAGUCUUAUUAUAACAUAAUAAAACUUUCAACAACGGAUCUCUUGGCUCUC
rnacentral:misc_RNA from 1 species